AUGGACUUUUGUACAAUAACUUAUUAAAGAAGGGGUUAGAUCAUUCAUUCUCCCAUUCUCCACCAAAAGCUCAAACCUCUCAUUUUUGUAUCAAAGCCUUCAACGGAGCCGAACCCCUCUUCUCCACCAUGACUCCAUGAAUUCAACUCCAAACUUUACGAUUCUUGAAGUAAAUCAAUCCUAAGGCUAAGGUAAUCAUGAUAAGGUGAUUAAGAGGUUACAUGGAGGAUUUUUGAUGGUGAAUUGAAUGGCUUGGAACCUUCAGCUCGGAGAACCUUUCAAGGUAAGGGAUUUUCUGAAAUUGGCUAAGUGUUUAAUUGAUGGGAUUGAAUGAGUUUGUGGCUUAGGGUUCGACACUUGUAUGAAGAUUAGGUGUUUGAUGAAUUGACUAUAUGAAAUUGUGGUGUAUUGUUUGAAUUCUUUGUUGAGUUUUGACAUAGGAAUGAGCUAAGGGUUUCAGCUCCUAAACUAGUUGAUGAUAUGAGGUUUAAUUGAUAGGUUAUAAGUGUUAAUUGGAGUCAUAUAGUUGAAUAUAGACUGAAAAUUGAAGCAAUAUUGAUUGAGUUAGAUUUGAUGCAAAGAUGAAUGUAUAGUUCGUCCAUGUUAAGGGUUUUGUAAUUGAAUGGAGUUUGGUGAUGUCAAAUAUGGUA